GUUCCCAUAGCUCAGGGGUAGAGCGUUCGGCUGCAGUGAUUAUAUAUAUAUUACAUAAUAUAUAUAUAAUUUGUGGAUCCGACAGGUCUCGUGUUCAAAUCACGAUGGGAACU